rnacentral:rRNA from 1 species
GAUGAACGCUGGCGGCGUGCCUAAUACAUGCGAGUCGAGCGAACGGACGAGAAGCUUGCUUUUCUGAUGUUAGCGGCGGACGGGUGAGUAACACGUGGAUCACCUACCUAUAAGACUGGGAUAACUUCGGGAAACCGGAGCUAAUACCGGAUAAUAUUUUGAACCGCAUGGUUCAAAAGUGAAAGACGGUCUUGCUGUCACUUAUAGAUGGAUCCGCGCUGCAUUAGCUAGUUGGUAAGGUAACGGCUUACCAAGGCAACGAUGCAUAGCCGACCUGAGAGGGUGAUCGGCCACACUGGAACUGAGACACGGUCCAGACUCCUACGGGAGGCAGCAGUAGGGAAUCUUCCGCAAUGGGCGAAAGCCUGACGGAGCAACGCCGCGUGAGUGAUGAAGGUCUUCGGAUCGUAAAACUCUGUUAUUAGGGAAGAACAUAUGUGUAAGUAACUGUGCACAUCUUGACGGUACCUAAUCAGAAAGCAACGGCUAACUACGUG